UUUUCGGGCAGAUGAACAUGAUCUUGAGCGGUUCUUGCUUCUACGCUCCCUGAAUUUUUGCAACGAACCAGUGGUACGAGCUGCCACAUCGACGCAUCGCCGGCCCACAGUGCUCUAGCCUUUUGUUACAGGCCAGAUGAAGAAAAUGAGAAGGCGAGAAGCCAUUGAUUCUUUUGGAGUGAUGCUUCCUACUGCUGCUGAUAUUCCAUUUAGGAGGGAACAAUCUUUUUCCAAGAGAGGACACCAGAGAUGCUCGAGCUAUAUUUAUUUAUUUAUUUAUGAGCUGCGCAACUUAUCUGUCCAACAUACUUUUUAGCAAAAAUGCGUCAAAUUUGUUAUGUCUUAGUCAAAAUGAAAAGUAGUACCAACAGAUAAUUAAAUGUUAAAGAUAGGGAAACCAAGAGUUCCAGAAAAUCAAAUCAAAUUGUAUCAUGAUGGAUAGAUCCAAAGUGUUGUAUUUAAUGCAACGGCUAGAAAAAUGACAAAUAAAUGGAUGCCCCCUUCAUUCACUUA